AAUUCUAAGGAAUUGACAGUGGAGGAAACAAUAGCCGGUUAAAUUCCGGUAGCUUCUCAGCUGAUCAACAUCUUUUUUGC
rnacentral:sRNA from 1 species